rnacentral:rRNA from 1 species
ACUCCAGACUCCUACGGGAGGCAGCAGUGGGGGAUAUUGCACAAUGGGGGAAACCCUGAUGCAGCGACGCCGCGUGAGUGAAGAAGUAUUUCGGUAUGUAAAGCUCUAUCAGCAGGGAAGAAAAUGACAGUACCUGACCAAGAAGCCCCGGCUAACUACGUGCCAGCAGCCGCGGUAAUACGUAGGGGGCAAGCGUUAUCCGGAUUUACUGGGUGUAAAGGGGGCGCAGACGGCGAUGCAAGCCAGGAGUGAAAGCCCGGGGCCCAACCCCGGGACUGCUCUUGGAACUGCGUGGCUGGAGUGCAGGAGGGGCAGGCGGAAUUCCUGGUGUAGCGGUGAAAUGCGUAGAUAUCAGGAGGAACACCGGCGGCGAAGGCGGCCUGCUGGACCGUAACUGACGUUGAGGCUCGAAAGCGUGGUGAGCAAACAGGAUUAGAUACCCCAGUAC